rnacentral:lncRNA from 1 species
UCACCCCAGGGUUUCUGAAGGAGGAAGGUUUUUCUUUUUCUUAUUCUUUUUUUUUUCUUGCAGAGUAAGUCAGCAGCUGCCUGGGAAACAGAAGGAGUUAACAGCUAUAUUUUUAACUUGGAACCCAUGGGAGUAAAUGACAGUGUCUAACGUAUGCAUUAAUACAUGAUGAAGUAUUCUGUGUCAAAGAAAAGUCCAAAGGAGUUUGGAAGGCACAGAACAAAGAGUUUGGAGAUCUUCCCAGGAAGACACCAAGACCCCCUUGGAAGUGUUGUCCAUCCUGAAAAGGUGAUCUACCCCCUCUUCUCAUAUCCCCAUUUCCGGUAUCAUCUGAACUAAUCCCAAAUUCCCAAUCUAGCAUGUGGGGAGGAGGACUAGUGAACCUGAACAAAAGAACUUGAAAUGAUCAUGUUGGACACUUUAUGAUUGAAAGAUGGGGGGCCCAUCACUGUGACAGUACUCAACAACAAAAAAAAACUGUUGAAUUCUUUAUAGGGCUUCCUUUAUUGUAACAGAAAGAUGCCCAUAAAUAGAAAAUGGGAAGGGGGUAUGAGACACCUAUUCAGAACUCAGUGCUAGUAACUACAGUGAUAUUGGUCCUGGGAUUCAGAAGUUGGGUUAUUGAUUGAUCUCAAUCAAAAAAGGCUACAUAAGACAAAACAGAACAACUCAGAUUUUGGAGCUGUCCAACUAGAAAAAUGGCUUCUCCAUAAUUGAGACAUCAUCACAGCUAUU